CCUACGGGAGGCAGCAGUGGGGAAUAUUGCACAAUGGGGGAAACCCUGAUGCAGCGACGCCGCGUGAGUGAGGAAGUAUUUCGGUAUGUAAAGCUCUAUUAGCAGGGAAGAAAAUGACGGUACCUGACUAAGAAGCCCCGGCUAACUACGUGCCAGCAGCCGCGGUAAUACGUAGGGGGCAAGCGUUAUCCGGAUUUACUGGGUGUAAAGGGAGCGUAGACGGUUAAUCAAGUCAGAAGUGAAAACCCAGGGCUCAACCUUGGGACUGCUUUUGAAACUGAGUAGCUAGAGUGCAGGAGAGGUAAGCGGAAUUCCUAGUGUAGCGGUGAAAUGCGUAGAUAUCACGCAGAACCCCGAUUGCGAAGGCAGCAUACCGGUGCACAACUGACGCUCAGGCACGAAAGCGUGGGUAUCGAACAGGAUUAGAUACCCUUGUAGUC
rnacentral:rRNA from 1 species